AGAGGAGAGGAGAAGGAGAACAGAAUCCUGGAGAAGACGUCGAAGGACGAACGAGAACGUCCGUCGCUUUUUCGCGGGGACCUUUGCAGUGCGCAAGGGCGUUGGCGCUGAUGACGGACGGGUAACUGGAAACGGUAGAGAGAGACAGAGAGAGAAGAGAGUGGAAGUGUGGGUGAGAGGAGUAAAGAGGGAAAGGAGAAAAAGAGAGGGUGAGUGGAAGUAGGAUGUGGCGCGUUGUGGGGUGGAGGGGGUGCGCGGAAGGCGUCGAAGCUUCGCGCGACGGUAUGAGGAGGAUCGACGAGGAGAAAGAGAGAGAGAGAGGGAGAGAGAGUGAGAGAGAGAGAGAGAGAAGAAGGGAUGCUUCGUAGAGGAUAACGACGAGAGAGGGACGACGAUGAUGGUGGUGGUGGUGGUAAUAGUAGUGGUGGUAGUGGUGGUGGAAGAGGUGGUACAAGCAAAGACGAGUUCUCCCAGUCGCUCAGUCCGCGCCCCGACACGCAAUCGUACGCAUGUUUAUUUACUUGAUCUCUUCUCGUACGGACGACGAGAUACUACGAGACGAUCGAACGAGUCCUCGAACUUUGGAACUUCCCGCUUCCAAUCUUCGUGGACGACGCUACUGAGAAAGAGAGCCGUCGUCCUCUAACAAACGUUUUCUAGGUGAAGCUAUAUUGCGUCGUACGUAUAAUAUUUACAGUAGAGCUAGUUAAUGAACCUUCCGACGUAUUUCACUUCAACUCGAUCCAUAGGCGUGUAUAGGUAGGAGGUAUGACGCUAAUUAAGCUUGUCGUUCGCGUUCUCCAAACCGACAUCCGACUAACUAAUAGGAUGGAUCGUGAGUCCUUUUACUCGGUCAGGGUGAAAACGAGAUCCGUGACGUCUGUUGUACUCCUUGUUACCCGGCCGCAUAACCGUAAAUUUCUCGGACAACUUUCAAAGCUUAAGAGGAAGAAGGCGAGCGUUUGCGUCUUACGUAUACACGAGAAUCCUCGAGAGAGUAAGUAUGUAAAAGGAAAGAAAUAGAUAGAAGAUACCAUUGGAUGAGAAAGUACUUAUUACACGGUUUCUCGCAAAAUUUGGAAAUGCGUUAUUGCGUCAACUUUAAUAUCAAGAGCAAUUUAACGUGGUUUCAAUUAAACGCAUAUCUACCUACAAAUCUAUCUACGAAGCAAUUAUAUAUGUAUUUAUGUACAUAAGUCACGUUAACCCUUUCAACAGUGAAUUUCCGUAGUAUUAUUAAAUUGAUUUCUAAAACGUCAUAGAUAGAAUUAAGAGCGAUACAGUUACGUGCAACAAGCGAAUGAAGAAACAUUAAUGUGUUUUGAAUAACUAAAUUAAUGACAGAGUAGAUAUUAAUUUGGCGUUAAACUUUGAAACGUAAAUACGUGUACGUUCUUACUAUUGCUAUUAUUAUUACUACUAGAUUCAUUAAAGAUAUUACAUAAA